ACUUUUAACAACGGAUCUCUUGGUUCUGGCAUCGAUGAAGAACGCAGCGAAAUGCGAUAAGUAGUGUGAAUUGCAGAAUUCAGUGAAUCAUCGAAUCUUUGAACGCACAUUGCGCCCCUUGGUAUUCCAUGGGGCAUGCCUGUUCGAGCGUCAUUUG
rnacentral:rRNA from 15 species